GUACAGGCGCUGGAGCACAGUGCUGUCUGUGUGUGAGCAGGCUGGGCUGACAACAUGGCAUCUCUGUGAUUCUAAUGGAUAUCUAUAACACCAUCACAACGGUUAUAUCCUCAUCACACAAAGUUACCUUCCACGGUACUCUGUGAUGACUUCGGCUGACGUCAAGCAAUCUGGAGAAGAAAGAGAGGAAACCUGUCGUGCAGGUGAUCUUACCAUCCACAGGGUCUCUCGGUCUCCAGAAGCAUUCGCACGCUGAUGGUGGAGGCGUCGAAUGAUGACAUCACAAUGAUUCCGGUUUCUUUUGUGCAAGAAACCGUUACUAUUAAUUUUAACCCCUAGUGCUUUUAGUAGCGCCCCACUUUUAAUAUAAUGUUGUGCCAUUUUUCAUUUCCACCUAUCCAGGAAGAGGAUAGUACAAAAGUUAGGCUUAGGCGUUAUUUAGCCCAGUGCCCUCUCUCUUAUAACCUUUUUUCCCUGAUGCGGAGCAGUGUUGUAAAGCGAAAGCACUAACAGUUCCUGCAUGUGUCUCAUUCUUUCUGCAGACAUGCUGCAUAUUCUGCAAUUACAUCUCAGAUCACAGCAUGUUCUUCCUUGGGGGUCCCUUUAAAUUAUACAAAUGAUCAAGUAUUUUAUAAAGUCAUGCAUUACUCCCUAGUCUGACAGGGAUGUGUGUAAUACUUUCUCUAGGACACAUGGUGUUAAAAUAAUUUUGCAAACUGUACAGUAGAAAGAAUGAUUCUCAUAAUAAUAAAUGUGCUAAAAGUA